GGUAGUGGGGGAUAACGUUCGGAAACGGACGCUAAUACCGCAUACGUCCUACGGGAGAAAGCAGGGGACCUUCGGGCCUUGCGCUAUCAGAUGAGCCUAGGUCGGAUUAGCUAGUUGGUGAGGUAAUGGCUCACCAAGGCGACGAUCCGUAACUGGUCUGAGAGGAUGAUCAGUCACACUGGAACUGAGACACGGUCCAGACUCCUACGGGAGGCAGCAGUGGGGAAUAUUGGACAAUGGGCGAAAGCCUGAUCCAGCCAUGCCGCGUGUGUGAAGAAGGUCUUCGGAUUGUAAAGCACUUUAAGUUGGGAGGAAGGGCAGUUGCCUAAUACGUAACUGUUUUGACGUUACCGACAGAAUAAGCACCGGCUAACUCUGUGCCAGCAGCCGCGGUAAUACAGAGGGUGCAAGCGUUAAUCGGAAUUACUGGGCGUAAAGCG
rnacentral:rRNA from 1 species